rnacentral:rRNA from 1 species
UAAUGCUUGGGAAUCUGGCUUAUGGAGGGGGAUAACUACGGGAAACUGUAGCUAAUACCGCGUAGUAUCGAGAGAUGAAAGUGCGGGACCGCAAGGCCGCAUGCCAUGAGAUGAGCCCAAGUGGGAUUAGGUAGUUGGCGGGGUAAAGGCCUACCAAGCCUGCGAUCUCUAGCUGGUCUGAGAGGAUGGCCAGCCACACUGGAACUGAGACACGGUCCAG